CCUACGGGUGGCAGCAGUGAGGAAUAUUGGUCAAUGGGCGGGAGCCUGAACCAGCCAAGCCGCGUGAGGGAAGAAGGUACAGCGUAUCGUAAACCUCUUUUGUCAGGGAACAAAGGCGGGGACUAGUCCCCGGAUGAGUGUACCUGACGAAAAAGCAUCGGCUAACUCCGUGCCAGCAGCCGCGGUAAUACGGAGGAUGCGAGCGUUAUCCGGAUUUAUUGGGUUUAAAGGGUGCGCAGGCGGCCUGUUAAGUCAGCGGUAAAAGCCCGGGGCUAAACCCCGGCCGGCCGUUGAAACUGGCAGUCUGGAGUUGGAGAGAAGUACGCGGAAUGCGCGGUGUAGCGGUGAAAUGCAUAGAUAUCGCGCAGAACCCCGAUUGCGAAGGCAGCAUGCCGGCUCCACACUGACGCUGAGGCACGAAAGCGUGGGUAUCGAACAGGAUUAGAUACCCUAGUAGUC
rnacentral:rRNA from 1 species